rnacentral:rRNA from 1 species
CCCUUAGAUGUCCUGGGCCGCACGCGCGCUACACUGAGUGUCUGAGAUACGAGUCUGCCUGGUCCGGCAAGGUCUAGGUAAUCGCUAAAAGACACAUCAUGCUUGGGAUAGAUUAUUGCAAAUAUUAAUCUUGAACGAGGAAUUCCUAGUAAGCGCAAGUCAACAGCUUGCGUUGAUUACGUCCCUGCCCUUUGUACACACCGCCCGUCGCUACUACUGAUUGGAUGUUUAAGCGAGGUUCUCGAACUGCUAGCGACUUAGCUUCGGUGAGGUCGCAGUGUGGGAAGUGAACCUAGCUUUGGUGUCUUGAGGAAGUAAAAGUCGUAACA